rnacentral:rRNA from 1 species
UAUCCCUCCGUAGGUAACCUGCGGAGGGAUCAUUA